rnacentral:misc_RNA from 1 species
GAAAUGCGAUAAGUAAUGUGAAUUGCAGAAUUCAGUGAAUCAUCGAAUCUUUGAACGCACAUUGCGCCCGCCAGUAUUCUGGCGGGCAUGCCUGUUCGAGCGUCAUUUCAACCAUCAAGCCCCCGGCUUGUGUUGGGGACCUGCGGCUGCCCGCAGGCCCUGAAAAACAGUGGCGGGCUCGCUGUCACACCGAGCGUAGUAGCAUACAUUCUCGCUCAGGGCGUGCUGCGGGUUCCGGCCGUUAAACGACCUUCAUAACCCAAGGUUGACCUCGGAUCAGGUAGGAGGACCCGCUGAACUUAAGC